UACGUAGGGGGCAAGCGUUGUCCGGAAUCAUUGGGCGUAAAGAGCGUGUAGGCGGCCUGGAAAGUCUGUUGUGAAAUCUUGGGGCUCAACCCCAAGCGGUCGCUGGAUACUGUCAGGCUUGAGUGCGGAAGAGGAGAGUGGAAUUCCUGGUGUAGCGGUGGAAUGCGCAGAUAUCAGGAGGAACACCUAUGGCGAAGGCAGCUCUCUGGUACGACACUGACGCUGAGACGCGAAAGCGUGGGGAGCGAACAGG
rnacentral:rRNA from 1 species